GUUUAAUAAAUUGGAAAAGAAAUGGUAUUUUUUUUUCUUUAGACUAAGGAGUUUAUUGAUGGGAGUUUACAAACGGGAGGAAAAGUUCUUGUGCAUGGGAACGCAGGGAUUUCUAGAAGUGCUGCUUUAGUUAUUGCAUAUAUUAUGGAAACAUUUGGUGUGAAGUACAGGUAAGAAUAUUUAUUAAAUAGCCUGUUGUAUUUCGGUAUAGGGGAUUUGUAAAAGAAUUAGAUGUUUUUAACUAUGAUUAAAGGAAAUUAUUGGAUUUUUCAUAGAAAUUAUUCCUUUUUUUUGAAUUCUAACUUUUGUGAACUUUGUUUAAACCAUGUUUGUUUAAUACUACAUUAUACCACCAAUAUUGCUUUU